AUCGACGGUUAUUGUUCCCCGAGGGGAGGGACAUGCUCAGACUCGGGGUCCACGCUGGCCGCCUCCCCAGAGCGUCCCCAGGUUCGAGGACGGCUGUGGGCUUCCUUUGUGUGUUCUCUGCCUGCCGCAGGCGUCGGUGCUGCCCCCAGGGGCGGCAGACGGGGGUGAGGGAGGUUGGUGCCAGCUCUGCCGCUGCCUCGAGCUCAGCUCGUCCGACCCAGUUUCCAGCUUGGCCCUUCCUGAGGAGGGUGGGGAGGGACGUGGUGUUUGUAGGGCAGCCUUUGAACAAUAGAACCAUCAAAAGACCUUCUCCCCGUCUGCUCCUCCAGAAAGGCCCUGGCCCAACAGGUCCUCUUAGCCUCGUUUUAUGCCUCCUUCCUCAGCACAAACAUUUCAUCUCUAUCAAGAUAUCGUUCUUCCAUAAAAAUAAUCCAGACUAGCUAUAGGAACCACUCAAGAUAUUUUGCCACAAGAUCUAGGACAAGAGGACUCACGGAGUAUCUCCCACCUUGUGGGUCUCUUGGGGUCCCUUCACCUGCUUCUGCUCCUGAAGAUGGUUGGACAUCCAUCCACCUUGCCUCUUCUGGCUGGACCUGGCCUGAAACUGAGUCUUUUGGAUUGUCUUUCUACUUUUCCAACUUGCCAAAUUUCUGAAAGAAGGACCAAAGUAAAGCCAAGAACUCCCAGAUGAAGAGGACCUUCCUGGAUUUGUAACAGGGAUUAACCAAUUCUUGAUUUCAGGAGGAAGUUUCAGCUAAUUCUCAGGAUAAAGUCAAAACAGGCCUGUCCCUUGGAUACUAAAGGUGUAAACAAGCUUCUGGCCCCCCCAGGUCAAGCAGAGACACGCUUUUUAUUGGAAGGUCCCUGGAUGAGGCUGAGAUCUGAAAGCCAGGAGGCAGAAUGUGAACUUUAAUGGCCCUUUCUUACCGCCUUUCUGGGGCCAGGACUACUCUUCAGGGCUUUCCUCUGCAACUUCCCCAUCCUCCUGGCUAGCUCAGUUGAGUCUUCUCACUCCACUCCAGGCUGGGUCCUGAGCCUCUCCUGGUAGCCAGAGCAAGCUCUCCCUCUCCCUAAAUCUCUUUCCCCACCCCAACCUCCCAUUUUGCAGCGGGCCAUUCCCACUGCCUCACCCCUACCCUGCAUUAAUUCACAUUUGACUGCCUGGACAGAACAACCACGGGCUCCCAAACGACUGCCACCCCCCAGCCAUGGGCCUGGGCUUGCAGCCCUGAUCCCUUUCUUCAGGCCUCAGGAGGAUCCCCCACAACCUCCCUGGUCCCCACCUUCCCCAAAGCGGUCUCUAUGGGAAGAAAAUAGAACAGGCCGAGGCCUGAGCCAAAGAGCCAUUUCCUCCGCUUAGGCAAGCGAGGGGAGCCUCCCAGAGACCACGGCCCGAGCGCAGCCUGGCCCUCUCCCACGGCCCGGCGCCGGCCCCGCGCUGCCUUUGUGUGGCCUUCCCCGCCGCGGAGCCCUUGGGGGCGCCGCGCGCACAAUGGCGCGGCCGCUCCCGGAAGACCCGGCUGCUCCGGGCGGCCAGGGCCAGCAGCCUCGAGGCUUCGGGGCGCACCCCGCGGCCCCCAGCGCGCCGGGCCCGGGGAACGUCCCAGGCUAGGGCAGAGGCUUCCUCCCCCUGCCGCCUGGUCCCUGUCCGCCGCAGGUCCUCCUCGGGAGAGGGAGAAGCCUGGCCCAGGGCGCCAUUGCCGGGCCGGGCUCCCCUCCCCCA
ensembl:lncRNA